GUGCUCGCUUUGGCAGCGCAUAUACUAAAAUUGGAACGAUACAGAGAAGAUUAGCAUGACCCCUGCUCAAGGAUGACACGCAAAUUCGUGAAGCAUUUCAUAUUUAA
rnacentral:snRNA from 1 species